rnacentral:rRNA from 1 species
CCGGGCCUUGUACACUCCGCCCAUGUGUGGCCCACUACGAUUACUGAUGGAUCUGCCGUUUAUACCGCAUAACAUCAACGGACCGGACCUGGGGACCUUCGGCCCUCUUGCCGUCCGAUGUGCCAUUAUGGAAUUGGUGGGUUAGAGGGUUAACGGCUCACCUAUGUGACGAUCCCUUGAUGGUAUGAGAGGAUGACCAGCCACUGUGAAACUGACACAACUCCUACACUCCUACGGGAGGCGGAAUUGGGGAAUAUUGGACAAUGGGCGCUCGCCUGAUGCCGCCAUGCCGAGGGAAGCAUGAAGGUCUUCGGGUUGUUAAGUACUUUCCGCAGGAAGGAAGGCAGUAAAGUUAAGACCUUGACUGAUCGAUAUUACCAAGAGACGAAUCACUGCCUGACUCCGUGCCAGCACCUACGUAAGUACGGAGGGUGCAUGCGUUUAUCUGAAUUACUGGGCUGAAAGCGCACUCAUGCGGUUUGUAAAUUAAGAUGUCAAAUCGCAGGGUCUCAACUGGGUAACUGACUGCGAGGCUGGAAUACUGGAGUCUCGGAUAGAGUGGUACAUGUCCCGGUGUAUCGCUGANAUGUGUAGAGGUACAGAG